UACGGGGGGGGCAAGCGUUGUUCGGAAUUACUGGGCGUAAAGGGCUCGUAGGCGGCCAACUAAGUCAUACGUGAAAUCCCUCGGCCUAACCGGGAAACUGCGUCUGAUACUGGAUGGCUUGAGUUCGGGAGAGGGAUGCGGAAUUCCAGGUGUAGCGGUGAAAUGCGUAGAUAUCUGGAGGAACACCGGUGGCGAAGGCGGCAUCCUGGACCAACACUGACGCUGAGGAGCGAAAGCCAGGGGAGCAAACGGG
rnacentral:rRNA from 1 species